AGUGGCCCUUAUCGAAGCUGCUGUUGCUUUCACACAGCUGCUGUCGUCAAAAAAGACCCCAGAGUGAGCUUUUCCUUGAUGGUCACCGUUGAGUUUGCUGUAACCGAGCCGCAAUAUUUCAGGAGAAGACAUUU